CCCUUAGAUGUCCGGGGCUGCACGCGCGCUACACUGAAGGAAUCAGCGUGCUAAAACCAUUGUCGAAAGGCAUUGGUAAACCCAUUAAAAUCCUAAGUGAUUGGGAUCGGGAAUUGCAAUUAUUUCCCUUGAACGAGGAAUUCCCAGUAAGUGUGGGUCAUAAGCUCGCGUUGAUUACGUCCCUGCCCUUUGUACACACCGCCCGUCGCUGCCCGGGACUGAGCCGUUUCGAGAAAAGCGGGGACUGCUGCUGUCGGGGCUUUCGGGCCUUGGCUUCGGUGGAAACCGCUUUAAUCGCAGUGGCUUGAACCGGGCAAAAGUCGUAACA
rnacentral:rRNA from 1 species